AACGAACGCUGGCGGCAUGCCUAACACAUGCAAGUCGAACGAGACCUUCGGGUCUAGUGGCGCAAGGGUGCGUAACGCGGGGGAACCUGCCCUUAGGUUCGGAAUAACUCCCCGAAAGGGGUGCUAAUACCGGAUAAUGUCUUCGGACCAAAGAUUUAUCGCCUUUGGAUGGGCCCGCGUUGGAUUAGCUAGUUGGUAGGGUAAAAGCCUACCAAGGCGACGAUCCAUAGCUGGUCUGAGAGGAUGAUCAGCCACACUGGGACUGAGACACGGCCCAGACUCCUACGGGAGGAAGCAGUGGGGAAUAUUGGACAAUGGGCGAAAGCCUGAUCCAGCAAUGCCGCGUGAGUGAUGAAGGCCUUAGGGUUGUAAAGCUCUUUUACCCGGGAUGAUAAUGACAGUACCGGGAGAAUAAGCUCCGGCUAACUCCGUG
rnacentral:rRNA from 1 species